rnacentral:rRNA from 1 species
AUUGAACGCUGGCGGCAUGCCUUACACAUGCAAGUCGAACGGCAGCACGGGUGCUUGCACCUGGUGGCGAGUGGCGAACGGGUGAGUAAUACAUCAGAACAUGUCCUGUAGUGGGGGAUAGCCCGGCGAAAGCCGGAUUAAUACCGCAUACGAUCCACGGAUGAAAGCGGGGGACCUUCGGGCCUCGCGCUAUAGGGUUGGCCGAUGGCUGAUUAGCUAGUUGGUGGGGUAAAGGCCUACCAAGGCGACGAUCAGUAGCUGGUCUGAGAGGACGACCAGCCACACUGGGACUGAGACACGGCCCAGACUCCUACGGGAGGCAGCAGUGGGGAAUUUUGGACAAUGGGCGAAAGCCUGAUCCAGCAAUGCCGCGUGUGUGAAGAAGGCCUUCGGGUUGUAAAGCACUUUUGUCCGGAAAGAAAUCCUUGACUCUAAUACAGUCGGGGGAUGACGGUACCGGAAGAAUAAGCACCGGCUAACUACGUG